GUUGAACGCUGGCGGCAGGCUUAACACAUGCAAGUCGAGCGGGCGAGGUUGCUUCGGUAACUGAGCUAGCGGCGGACGGGUGAGUAAUGCUUAGGAAUCUGCCUAUUAGUGGGGGACAACAUUCCGAGAGGAAUGCUAAUACCGCAUACGCCCUACGGGGGAAAGCAGGGGAUCUUCGGACCUUGCGCUAAUAGAUGAGCCUAAGUCAGAUUAGCUAGUUGGUGGGGUAAAGGCCUACCAAGGCGACGAUCUGUAGCGGGUCUGAGAGGAUGAUCCGCCACACUGGGACUGAGACACGGCCCAGACUCCUACGGGAGGCAGCAGUGGGGAAUAUUGGACAAUGGGCGCAAGCCUGAUCCAGCCAUGCCGCGUGUGUGAAGAAGGCCUUUUGGUUGUAAAGCACUUUAAGCGAGGAGGAGGCUACUUGGAUUAAUACUCUAGGAUAGUGGACGUUACUCGCAGAAUAAGCACCGGCUAACUCUGUGCCAGCCGCCGCAGUAAUAC
rnacentral:rRNA from 1 species